GGCUCGACACGGCAGGCUGGCGGCGGGGAGGCUGGUACUCACCUUGCGGCGCCGCACGCUUGGCCGCCUUUGUAUGCAAACACCCAGCCCGCCUCGCGCUCCUGGUCUGCGCGGCCCGGCCCCCGGGGGCGGGGCGAGCGGGGCGGCGCAAGGGGCCUCACGAGACUCGAGCCACUCGGCUGCUUUCAGGGCCCGCCCGGCACCAGGCGGCAGAGCCUCCCUCGCAGGAAGUGCCGGGGCAGCCCGCCCCCUCCUUCCUCGCCUACCUUAGAGCUCUUUACUGAGAUGCAGAAGGAAGACGGAAGAUGCGGGCUCGGAAGGAAAUGCGAGCGCACUUCUGGCCACUCUAAGACUGGGAUUUUUUCCAGCCAACCCAGACAUGUCGGGAAGGGGAAGGCUUCUGGUGCUCGUUGAAGAAGCCGGCUGGCUCUAGGUAGAAGUUUAGGGUCAUCUGCUAUCUUUCUCUGCUAUCCCCAUUAUUUCCACUGCAUCUAAACAAGUCCAGACUCUGCAGGGAGAAUUUGUUUCCAACAAGCAAUGAGGAGAAGACACUAGAUCACGUUUCAGUAUAAACUGAGCUGGAUUCACGAAAGCCCUCUGCCCUGCUGAUCCUGCCCUGGCUGGAGUCCCCCUGGGAGGGCCCUUGCUGUGCGGUCUGCAACCAAGCAGUCACCCAGCUGUGACUCAGCCAGGACAGCUGAGGUGAUCCCCUGGGCCAAUCCCUGGACCUGCCGCUUUCAGCCCAACUCGGAAGAGGAGAAGGAAACCACCGGGAUGCGAUGCGUAAACUUGCUCCAGCCUCUGGAGGAGGAAGGAGGGAGGAGUGAUGCCAGAGCAAAGCGAUGCAAGCACCCUCGAUCCUAAAAAGACUCAGACUCGGUUUCACUAUCUGGAAAAUCGGAGACAGAUCCACUUUGAGGAUGGAAAUGGCCAUCACGUGAAAUACAUGGACUUUGCUAACUUGAAAGAUUUUGAAGUUCUAGAACCGUAUACAUUAAGGAGUGGUGAUUCCCAGGAUCUGUUCAGUGCUUAGCCCAGCUGUGAUACAGAGACUGUCCGGCUUGCCCAGCCUCAAGACCCUGCAGGCUGCUGACCUUCCUCCUAGGAGGGACACCUAGAGAAGGCUGAUGAUGUGUAAGGCUAAACAAUUACAACUCCUCGAUUGUCAGAACUCUUCUCUACAUAGAAAAGCGACGAGAAUGAUCUAAGCCGCCCUAUUCCAGCUGGAAAUCUCCAUCCUUCUAUCCAGUGACAAUAACAAUCCUGGGAAUUCUGAAGUUUUCCAGAUUAACUACCUACACAAUUGAAAGGGCUCUGCAAGGGGGAGGGGAGACAGGAGGGUGACCUCUUGCCCCUCUUCACCUGAGUCUCAUGAAACAAUACAGCCAGGCCUGCAGGACCCAGGUCUCUAUGAAGCAGCCCUCACACCUCGGAAGAACAUUAACAUCACACCUGAGCAAAAUGACGUGCACCUACGAGGAGCAUCAAAGAUGAUGGAACGUCCACAUCGCCUCCUCUGGCACCCAUGGGAACGCUGCCUCAGUAAACCUCUGGCCUCUCUCUCCACCCUUCGUCCCUUCCGUUCUGAGGAAGGAAGUACGGAGCUGUGACUCAACUGCUCCUUUCUGGUGUGACGGUCAGCACAAACCAAGACAAGAUUCCAUCUUCCCUGGUGCGACAAGGGAAAGAGGUUGCCUGCCCCUCCCCUCUCUCCUUAGCACGUUUACUACUGGACACUUACUAUACAUUCUUUCUCUGCCCCUUUGAGAGUAAAUCUUAAAAAGUAAAUCUUUCUAAAAGCUAAAUAAGCCUCUGGGCACCUGUACAACUCAGAAAUAUUCCUAGCACCUGGCAGCCACCUCUCAGAAAUGUAAACAGAAAGGUGCCCCCCCCCCGCCCCCUGUCUCCCAGCGUCCCUGGGAGGGCAGGCGCCUAACUUCGGCAGGUGUCCUGCCUCGCUCCACGGUGCAAAACUAGCUCUUGUUACAAAGGAACUAGAAGUUUCGUUUUUCCUUUGGAUAAAGGCAAUAAGCUAACACAGAUGGCCACCCCGUUACCAGGUAAACCGUGUGUGACAAAUGGUGCUGUCAGGUCCUCUUACUGAGGACUGGUUGUCGUUUAACCUGAGAACACAUGUCAGCCUGCCUACAUGAACAUGUGAAAUCCCUUCAUGUCUUUGCAGUCUCUUAUUGGACGGCCUGGUUUCAUGCUUAUUCGAUAA